rnacentral:rRNA from 1 species
UUUAGAGUUUGAUCCUGGCUCAGAGUGAACGUUGGCGGCGUGCCUAACACAUGCAAGUCGAGCGCGUUCCGGGGGCAACUCCGGGACGAGCGGCGAACGGGUGAGUAACACGUGGGUAAUCUCCCUCCGAGUGAGGAAUAAGCCCCCGAAAGGGGGUCUAAUACCGCAUGACGCCAUGGGGCAUAUGCGUCCAUGGUUAAAGCCGCAAGGCGCUUGGAGAUGAGCCUGCGUCCUAUUAGCUAGUUGGUAGGGUAACAGCCUACCAAGGCGAUGAUGGGUAGCCGGCCUGAGAGGGUGACCGGCCACACUGGGACUGAGACACGGCCCAGACUCUUACGGGAGGCAGCAGUGAGGAAUUUUGCGCAAUGGGCGAAAGCCUGACGCAGCGACGCCGCGUGGAGGAUGACGGCCUUCGGGUUGUAAACUCCUGUCAGAGGUGAAGAAUCCCCGCAAGGGGUUGACGGAACCUCAAAGAAGCCCCGCCAACACG